AAUGGCCGCAGUAAUUUGACUGUGCAAAGGUAGCAUAAUCAUUAGUUUUUUAAUUUAAAGCUUGUAUGAAUGGUUGGACGAGGUAAAUUCUGUCUCUAUUUAAUUUAAAUUAGAAUUUAAUUUUUAAGUUAAAAAGCUUAAAUAUUUAUAAAAGACGAGAAGACCCUAUAGAGUUUUAUAAUAUAUUUUUAUUAAUUAAUUAAGAUUAUUUAAUUUUAAUUAAAAUAUAUUAUUUUAUUGGGGUAAUAGAAAGAUAAAUAUAAUUCUUUUAAUUUUUAUACAUUAAUUUAUGAAUUUAUGGAUCCAAUAUUAUUGAUUAAAAGAUUAAAUUACCUUAGGGAUAACAGCGUAAUUUUUUUUAAGAGUUCAUAUCGAUAAAAAAGUUUGCGACCUCGAUGUUGGAUUAAAGAUUAAUUUAGGUGUAGAAGUUUAAAUUUUUGGUCUGUUCGACCAUUUAAUCUUUACAUGAUCUGAGUUCAGACCGGUGUGAGCCAGGUCGGUUUCUAUCUUUAUAAUAAUAUAAUAUUUUAGUACGAAAGGACCAAAUAUUAAUUAUAAUAUAAUUAUUUUUUUGAAAUUUAUUGUUAUUUUGGCAGAUUAGUGUAAUGAAUUUAGAUUUCAUUUAUGUAAUUUAUAUUACAAAUAAUAU
rnacentral:misc_RNA from 1 species